rnacentral:rRNA from 1 species
CAGUCGUACCGGCGGAAAAUCGGCUCUUCGAGUGCGAACUUGUGGGCGUACGUGAGCUUUAACCGGCCUCGUUGUUUGCGAUGUUUGUGCUUUUUGGGUGUACUUUUUCGUAUGGUAGGCCAACGUCAGUCUCGGUCACCAUAAAAUGAUUAGAGGAAUGUAGCUUCGAUCUUGUAUUGAAGUGUUAUAGCCUCUGGUAGAUGUGGUGAACGAAACUGAGGAUUGCAACGGAUACCCGUUCGGGGCUACCCUGUCUGGUCUCUGAUCGUUGCUCUGGUGCCGAAAGCUUGCUUACGGUUAUCAAAGUCGAUGGUCAA